GAUGAACGCUAGCGGCAGGCCUAAUACAUGCAAGUCGAACGGUAACAUGAGUAGCAAUACUUGAUGACGAGUGGCGCACGGGUGCGUAACACGUAUGUAAUCUUCCCACAACUGGGGGAUAGCCCGGAGAAAUCCGGAUUAAUACCCCAUAACCCAGCGAGGUGGCAUCACCUUUCUGGUAAAUCUCCGGAGGUUGUGGAUGAACAUGCGUACGAUUAGCUAGUUGGCGGGGUAACGGCCCACCAAGGCUACGAUCGGUAGGGGUACUGAGAGGUUAAACCCCCACACUGGUACUGAGACACGGACCAGACUCCUACGGGAGGCAGCAGUAAGGAAUAUUGGACAAUGGAGGCAACUCUGAUCCAGCCAUGCCGCGUGAAGGAUGAAGGCGCUAUGCGUUGUAAACUGCUUUUGAACGGGAAAAAACCCCUUUACGUGUAAAGGGUUGAUUGUACCGUUAGAAUAAGGGUCGGCUAACUUCGUGCCAGCCGCCGCGGUAACAC
rnacentral:rRNA from 1 species